rnacentral:lncRNA from 1 species
GAACACGAAGACGAAGUUAGACGGUUGAAGACGAAGGCGAACACGAAGACAAAGUUGGACGGUUGAAGAUGAAGGUGAAGCUUGUUUUUGUGGACUUUUGAAUAAGUGGGGUUAUAAGGAAGGAACUUAUAGGUUGUGGACGAAAAUUCUGAAAAUAGAUGAGGAUUUCUUUCAGAUAUCGAAGGAUGAUGAUGCUCAUGAUUUUGCUGCAUAUGUGUGUGCAACUAAUGUUGUUG